UACGGGGGGGGCAAGCGUUGUUCGGAAUUACUGGGCGUAAAGGGCUUGUAGGCGGCCAACUAAGUCCGACGUGAAAUCCCUAGGCUUAACCUAGGAACUGCGUCGGAUACUGGAUGGCUUGAAUCCGGGAGAGGGAUGCGGAAUUCCAGGUGUAGCGGUGAAAUGCGCAGAUAUCGGGAGGAACACCAAUGGCGAAGGCAGCUCGCUGGGACGUGACUGACGCUGAGGCGCGAAAGCGUGGGGAGCAAACAGG
rnacentral:rRNA from 1 species